CCUACGGGAGGCAGCAGUGGGGGAUAUUGCACAAUGGGGGAAACCCUGAUGCAGCGACGCCGCGUGGAGGAAGAAGGUUUUCGGAUUGUAAACUCCUGUCGUUAGGGACGAUAAUGACGGUACCUAACAAGAAAGCACCGGCUAACUACGUGCCAGCAGCCGCGGUAAAACGUAGGGUGCAAGCGUUGUCCGGAAUUACUGGGUGUAAAGGGAGCGCAGGCGGGAAGACAAGUUGGAAGUGAAAACCAUGGGCUCAACCCAUGAAUUGCUUUCAAAACUGUUUUUCUUGAGUAGUGCAGAGGUAGAUGGAAUUCCCGGUGUAGCGGUGGAAUGCGUAGAUAUCGGGAGGAACACCAGUGGCGAAGGCGGUCUACUGGGCACCAACUGACGCUGAGGCUCGAAAGCAUGGGUAGCAAACAGGAUUAGAUACCCUGGUAGUCCAUGCCGUAAACGAUGAUUACUAGGUGUUGGGGGAUUGACCCCCUCAGUGCCGCAGUUAACACAAUAAGUAAUCCACCUGGGGAGUACGACCGCAAGGUUGAAACUCAAAGGAAUUGACGG
rnacentral:rRNA from 1 species